GACGAACGCUGGCGGCGUGCUUAACACAUGCAAGUCGAACGGAAAGGCCCUGCUUUUGUGGGGUGCUCGAGUGGCGAACGGGUGAGUAACACGUGAGUAACCUGCCCUUGACUUUGGGAUAACUUCAGGAAACUGGGGCUAAUACCGGAUAGGAGCUCCUGCUGCAUGGUGGGGGUUGGAGAGUUUCGGCGGUUGGGGAUGGACUCGCGGCUUAUCAGCUUGUUGGUGGGGUAGUGGCUUACCAAGGCUUUGACGGGUAGCCGGCCUGAGAGGGUGACCGGCCACAUUGGGACUGAGAUACGGCCCAGACUCCUACGGGAGGCAGCAGUGGGGAAUAUUGCACAAUGGGCGGAAGCCUGAUGCAGCAACGCCGCGUGCGGGAUGACGGCCUUCGGGUUGUAAACCGCUUUCGCCUGUGACGAAGUGUGAGUGACGGUAAUGGGUAAAGAAGCACCGGCUAACUACGUG
rnacentral:rRNA from 1 species